UACGGGGGGGGCAAGCGUUGUCCGGAUUUAUUGGGCGUAAAGAGCUCGUAGGUGGUUCGGUAAGUCGGAUGUGAAAUCUCCAGGCUCAACCUGGAGGGGUCAUUCGAUACUGCCGUGACUAGAGUUCGGUAGGGGAGUGUGGAAUUCCUGGUGUAGCGGUGAAAUGCGCAGAUAUCAGGAAGAACACCAAUGGCGAAGGCAGCUCUCUGGGACGGUACUGACGCUGAGACGCGAAAGCGUGGGGAGCGAACAGG
rnacentral:rRNA from 1 species